AUACAGAGUUCACUUUCAGUUGAUCCACAAUUAUAUUUAAUUCGAGUUCAAGCCGAAGCAGUACGAUGAUAUUUUUGAAGGCCAAUGCAUUGCUGUUCAUUGGUGUUCUAUUGGUAGUUGUAACAUUCCACGAAGCCAACUCGUAUAGAAAGUGCUCCAUAAACGAGGAAGAGCAAUGCAAAUGCUUUGAGAGCUCCUGCUUUCAGCUUUUAUAUGAUGGGGAAAAUUGUGCGUCCUGUAAAACAGAGUGCCAAUGUAAAAUUGGUUUUGUACGCAACAGGGGUAUGUGUAUGAAAAAGGAAAAAUGCUGCUCGGGUUCUGUUUGCGUAUCGAAAAAGGAGCAAAUUAUAAGAGCCAUACGUCAAAAGAUGGAAAGGCCGACCGCCAGGUCGAAUAAGAUCAAGUAAAAUCGAUUAUGUUCGCAAGCCUAAUGUUUAAAAAUACAAAUGGAUUUACAGAACUUGCCUACGAAAGAAUAAAUUGUUGCUGUACCUAAUUAAACAAUUUCUUU